rnacentral:lncRNA from 1 species
UGUUUUAUACUUUUAAUAAUGAUAUGAGAUAUAUUUUACUAUAUACAGACAAGAAUGUACCUUCUUUUUGUUAACAUGAAUAUCAGAUUAUGUAAAAAAAAACAUAGGGCUUUAGAUAUAAGCUUCCAUAGUGCGGAUUUAAAUCCUAAACAUAAUGAUCAAAGAAUAUACAUACAUCCACCAGAUUUAAGAGAAAUCCUUCACAACCUUUCAGAUUUGAACUUAAGAUAUAUUGAGAAGAAUUCUUCACAACC